rnacentral:pre_miRNA from 1 species
GAAAAUUUGGAAACUACCAUUGGAUCGAGAAAUGGGCGUCCGAGAUUCGUCCACGUCACCAUGGUUACUGGGAGUUAAAUUUUAACUCAUGGUAAUGUGGAUGAAUCUCAGGCGUCCAUUUUUCGAUCCAACGGUAGUUUUCAAGUUUUC